AAUCUUUAAAACAUGGCGAACUAUUCCUUCGCCUUUUACUAAAGAAUACCGUGUGCUCGUUACAUUCAGCGGCAUACGCUUAUUCUUGAAAGGCUUUCUUAGUUCUGAGAU
rnacentral:snRNA from 1 species